CUCACAGGAGACUGCCGGGGUCAACUCGGAGGAAGGUGGGGACGACGUCAAGUCAUCAUGCCCCUUAUGUCUUGGGCUGCACACGUGCUACAAUGGCCGGUACAAUGAGCUGCGAUACCGCGAGGUGGAGCGAAUCUCAAAAAGCCGGUCUCAGUUCGGAUUGGGGUCUGCAACUCGACCCCAUGAAGUUGGAGUUGCUAGUAAUCGCAGAUCAGCAUUGCUGCGGUGAAUACGUUCCCGGGCCUUGUACACACCGCCCGUCACGUCACGAAAGUCGGUAACACCCGAAGCCGGUGGCCCAACCCUUGUGGAGGGAGCCGUCGAAGGUGGGACUGGCGAUUGGGACGAAGUCGUAACAAGGUAGCCGUACCGGAAGGUGCGGCUGGAUCACCUCCUUUCUAA
rnacentral:rRNA from 1 species